rnacentral:lncRNA from 10 species
CUCCCACUUUAGCCACUCAAGUGUUUGGGACCACAGGUAUGUGCCACCACAUGUAUGUGCCACCACAUCUGGUUAAUUUUUAAAUUUUAUGUACAGGUAGAGUCUUACUGUGUUGCCCAGGAUGGUCUUGAACUCUUGGACUCAUGUGGUCCUCCCACCUUGGCCUCCCAAAGUGCUGAGAAAUGUGAGCCACAAUGCCCAGUCAGCUUUUUAUUUCUUUAAUGUGGCAAAUUGCAAACAUAUAUAGAAAUAAAGAGAAUAGUAUAAUGAGCCUUCAUGUACUCAACAUCCAGCUUCAGCAGUUAUCAACACAGUUAACACACUGUUUCCACAUCUACCAGCCCCUGUCCCUCCUUCCCCUCUUGCUUAUUUUAAAGCAGAUCUUCCAGUUAUUGUAUAAUUUCAUCCAUAAAUACUUAAGUAUUUAAAAAUUCUUUUCACUGUUAAGUGAGGAAUUACUCCUUCAUAGUUAGGUUUAUAUAACUUUUAAGUAUCUGAUCAUAGUUGGAACUAAACUACUUACACCAUCUACUUCUAAUCCAUAUUACUUAUCAGUAGGGAAUUCCCUGUGCCAGCUAAGAAGAAAUGAGGUAAAUAGUUCACAUCAUUGCUUUUCGAUGUUUGCAUUGAACAUUUAGAACAGUUCCUAUGCUAUUCAGAAUAGCUUAUCAGCUUUUUUCAAAUGCACAAGAGAGAAACAAAGGGUUUCUUACAGUUUUUUAGUCAUAGCGACAAGAUGCUAAAAAAUGUCUAGUUUUUAGUCCCUAGAUUUUCAUUUUUUUGUUUUCCAUUUUUUUUUUUUUUUUUUUUUUGAGACAGAGUCUCACUCUGUUGCCCAGGCUGGAGUGCAGUGGCGCAAUCUCGGCUCACUGCAACCUCUGCCUCCUGGGUUCAAGUGAUUCUCCUGCCUCAGCCUCCUGAGUAGCUUGGACUACAGGUGCGAGCCACCAUGCCCAGUGAAUUUUCGUGUUUUUAGUAGAGACCGGGUUUCACCAUGUUGGCCAGGCUGAUCUUGAACUCUUGACCUCAAGUGAUCAGCCCGCAUCGGCCUCCCAAACUGUUGGCAUUACAGGUGUGAGCCACCACACCCAGCUGAGUUUAAUUUACUUUAACAAGCCAUUCAUUUGUUUGUUUUGUAUUCAUUCAUUCCUCACUCCACUGACUAACAUUUUUCCAGUGCUUCCACCAUACCCAUUUCUGUGCUUAGGUGUGGGGAAAAGACAUACAGUGUUUUUUUUUGUUUUUGUUUUUGUUUUUUAAAUCUCAGAUGUAAUCCUAGCUCUGUGGGAGGCCAAGGCAGGAGGAUUGCUUGAGCCCAGGAGUUUAAGACCAGCCUGGGGGCAACAUAAGGAGACCUGGUUACU